rnacentral:rRNA from 1 species
CCUACGGGUGGCAGCAGUGAGGAAUAUUGCACAAUGGGCGGGACCCUGAUCCAGCAACGCCGCGUGAGUGAAGAAGUAUCUCGGUAUCGUAAGCCCCAUCAGCAGGGAAGAAAAAAGACGGUACCUGACUAAGAAGCCUCGACUAAAUACAUGCCAACCGGCGCGGUACUUAGGAGGGGGCACGCGUUAUCCGGAUUUACUGGGUUUAACGGGAGCGUAGACGGCUAUGCAAGUCUGAAGUGAAAGUCCGUGGCUCAACCGCGGAACUGCUUUGGAAACUGGAUGGCUUGAGUACGGGAGAGGCAGGCGGAAUGCGUAGUGUAGCGGUGAAAUGCGUAGAUAUCAGGCAGAACACCGGUGGCGAAGGCAGCCUGCUGGACAGACACUGACGUUGAGGCACGAAAGCGUGGGGAUCAAACAGGAUUAGAUACCCUAGUAGUC